rnacentral:RNase_P_RNA from 1 species
GAAGCUGACCAGACAGUCGCCGCUUCGUCGUCGUCCUCCUUCGGUGGGAGACGGGCGGAGGGGAGGAAAGUCCGGGCUCCAUAGGGCAAGGUGCCAGGUAACGCCUGGGGGGUGUCACAGCCCACGACCAGUGCAACAGAGAGCAAACCGCCGAUGGCCCGCGUAAGCGGGAUCAGGUAAGGGUGAAAGGGUGCGGUAAGAGCGCACCGCGCGGCUGGUAACAGUCCGCGGCACGGUAAACUCCACCCGGAGCAAGGCCAAAUAGGGGUUCAUAAGGUACGGCCCGUACUGAACCCGGGUAGGCUGCUUGAGCCAGUGAGCGAUUGCUGGCCUAGAUGAAUGACUGUCCACGACAGAACCCGGCUUAUCGGUCAGUUUCACCU